CUCAUUUAUCACAUAUAUCGACAUGGAAGGGGUGCAGGUUAUCUCAUUUAUCACAUUUACCGACAUACAAGGGGUGCAGGUUAUCUCAUUUAUCACAUUUACCGACAUACAAGGGGUGCAGGUUAUCUCAUUUAUCACAUAUACAGACAUACAAGGGGAGCAGGUUAUCUCAUUUAUCACAUUUACCGACAUACAAGGGGUGCAGGUUAUCUCAUUUAUCACAUUUACCGACAUACAAGGGGUGCAGGUUAUCUCAUUUAUCACAUUUACCGACAUACAAGGGGAGCAGGUUAUCUCAUUUAUCACAUUUACCGACAUACAAGGGGUGCAGGUUAUCUCAUUUAUCACAUUUACCGACAUACAAGGGGUGCAGGUUAUCUCAUUUAUCACAUUUACCGACAUACAAGGGGUGCAGGUUAUCUCAUUUAUCACAUUUACCGACAUACAAGGGGUGCAGGUUAUCUCAUUUAUCACAUUUACCGACAUACAAGGGGAGCAGGUUAUCUCAUUUAUCACAUUUACCGACAUACAAGGGGUGUAGGUUAUCUCAUUUAUCACAUUUACCGACAUACAAGGGGAGCAGGUUAUCUCAUUUAUCACAUUUACCGACAUACAAGGGGUGCAGGUUAUCUCAUUUAUCACAUUUACCGACAUACAAGGGGAGCAGGUUAUCUCAUUUAUCACAUUUACCGACAUACAAGGGGAGCAGGUUAUCUCAUUUAUCACAUUUACCGACAUACAAGGGGGGCAGGUUAUCUCAUUUAUCACAUUUACCGACAUACAAGGGGAGCAGGUUAUCUCAUUUAUCACAUUUACCGACAUACAAGGGGAGCA